AUGGAACAUACAUAUAUAUAUAUAGUUUAGACCUGAAUGCAAUCCCAUAAACGAAGAGCUGAACUAAGUUCUGCAGUUCUUUUUGUUCAGUUGAAGGUUCCAAAGAAGAUAGGAGGCUAAGGUUUGUAACAGGAAGCAGAGAUGGCCGAACAAAAGCAUCUCCUUAUGUGUAAUCAUCUCUACAUAUAUAAGGUGGUUGUGGUUCUUCACCAUUGAGGACCAUUUCUUGGACACGUUUUGAUAGCAAAACUUCAACAGGAAGAGUGGAGAUUCUGGCCAUGUUUAAUGAUAAAGAACUGUGAGGAAUGAUGCUUUUUGUAAUUUCACCAAAAAAUAAAGAGGAAAUUUGCAUAUUGCCGGAAGAUGUAUAUGAAUAAAUCAAGGAAACAAGUAAUUAUGAAUCAAACAUCUUUGUUUUGAUCAAGGAGAGUAUGGAGGUAGAAGAAUUGGUUUGUUAAUGACUGUAUUUAUAGCGCCGAUCAUCUCAUGCGGUGACGAGAAUCCAUCUUUACCCAUGUAGAAGAGGUGAACAAUCUUGCUUGUUUUCCAGAACAGAUCUUUGCAAACUUUGGGAACCACACUCCCCUCUGUUUGGACCACCAUCCGCAGCAACUCUCUUCUAUGGCUCUCGAUUAGUCUCUUGGUCUCACUUAUGGCCUCUUCCUCAGAAACACUGCCAUCGCCAUGAAUCACGCGUAAUGCCAAGCUGUUGAGUUUUCCUUGUUCGCUUUCUCUCUUGACGGUCGUGAGAUCAUUCAAGAGCCUUGAAAUUAUGCUCAUAUGCCUAAAUAGAUCGUCAUAUUCCUUGCUCUUUACUGCUUCCUCUGACAAUUUGCACCCAAGAAAAUAAAGAGGUACGAGAACUACAGGUCCCAAGGCGACGCUCACGUAUGCACUCGACAUAUAAUCAUCCACUGAGGGCACCGAUUCACCUCUUGCCCACUCGAACUCUCUCCACAUGGUCUCCAGUAAUAUGAGCCAUAUCUCAAUUAAGUGAUCUUUGACGCUUCUUCCUUGUUCUAUGCCAGCCUUGACUGCAAACUCGUUGGUUGUAUCAUAAACUGCAGAGAAAAUAAUCUCAAUUUGUUCCGAGCAGAACCCCACCUCUGAAUGUUUAUCCCACUUUUUCACCAAUUCAAACAUGUUUAGUAUCUCUUUUUCGGAUCCGCCAACAUCGAAUAGAUCAUCAAUCAGAGUUACAAGAACAGUAAAUUUAGCCCAUGCAAUUCUAGCAUCCGAGUGCUCGGGAGAGAAAAGUACUGAGGCAGCAGCGAAAAACCCAUAAGUUAUCUUCUGUCUUGCAAACUUAAGCUCAUCCAUCCUGUAUUCUUUGACCCAUCUUUCCAAGAUCUUAAGUUCUUUUUGGUGUAUGUAUUGGCAGGCAUUAAAAUCCUUCAGUGACAAAUCCAGCAAAUACUUGUUGUCGAUAUUGGAGCACCUGUAAGAUGUUUUGAGAAGUCGGACAUUGUCUAUUUCUUGCAACUCUAUGCUUUUCCUGUUCUCAAGCCUUUCCAAACUGGCAUGAGGAUACUUGAGAGCAUAUUCAACCUCCUUGUGCAAUUGCUUCUCGCCAACAGCACCUUUUCCUAUCGCCAGUUUGAGAAAGGAGCUAGUCCACACAUAUAUUUUCUCAAGAAUGUGUUCACUUGGGAGUAUUGCCAUCUGCGAAGCUUUGUAUAAUUCAAGAAUUGUGUUCGUGUCUUUGUACUGUUCGCUGACAGAAUUGAAGAACUGCUCUUGCUCAUCAAGUCCUGCGAAUACAUCAGAGGAAAUUUCAUAUCCAUUCAUCCUUAGAAGUCGAAAGCCCAUGGCAAGACAGGCAAUGUCUGAGAAUAUUUCCUCAUCUCCUUGCAGCCAGCAUCUGUAUAUUUCAUCCAGAAUUGUUUGAAUCUCGUUUCUGAAAUAUUGAUCUAUGCCCAGCCUCUCGAGUUUAUCAACAGUACAUAGGCGAGCAUAUAUAUCUAAAGGGUAGAUUGUUGGAACUGCAUUUUCGUAUCUUUGAAGAAGGGAAUUCAAGUACAUGAAGCAUUUAUCAUCAUUCAGGUGAAGCAAAGCUGCUGCUGUAGUGGAUGGGGAAUUAAACAGAGACCCAUUGCUCCUCUGAUAUUUCAUUAUAUCCUUCCACUCGUCAGGUUUAGUGAAGCCCUCUGCAACAUAGGCGAGAUACUUGUUCUUUCCUUCUAAGCCACUUCUCAAAGCACUCUGAAUCUCCAAGUCUCGCUUGU
rnacentral:misc_RNA from 1 species